AUUGAACGCUGGCGGAAUGCUUUACACAUGCAAGUCGAACGGCAGCACGGGGGCAGCCCUGGUGGCGAGUGGCGAACGGGUGAGUAAUACAUCGGAACGUGCCCGGUCGUGGGGGAUAACGUAGCGAAAGUUACGCUAAUACCGCAUACGAUCUGCGGAUGAAAGCGGGGGACCUUCGGGCCUCGCGCGCUCGGAGCGGCCGAUGUCAGACUAGGUAGUUGGUGGGGUAAAGGCCUACCAAGCCGAGGAUCUGUAGCUGGUCUGAGAGGACGACCAGCCACACUGGGACUGGGACACGGCCCAGACUCCUACGGGAGGCAGCAGUGGGGAAUGUUGGACAAUGGGCGCAAGCCUGGUCCAGCCAUUCCGCGUGCAGGACGAAGGCCUUCGGGUUGUAAACUGCUUUUGUACGGAACGAAAAGGCUCUGGCUAAUACCUGGGGCUCAUGACGGUACCGUAAGAAUAAGCACCGGCUAACUACGUG
rnacentral:rRNA from 1 species